rnacentral:rRNA from 1 species
GACAGAGGUGCCGAGCGUUAGGCGGAAUCACUGGGCUUAAAGCGUGUGUAGGCGGACUUCUAAGUACCUUGUGAAAUCCCACGGCUCAACCGUGGAACUGCUCGGUAUACUGGUCGUCUUGAGCCACCUAGGGGCGAGCGGAACAAGCGGUGGAGCGGUGAAAUGCGUAGAUAUCGUAAGGAAGACCAGUGGCGAAGGCGGGUCUCUGGACAGUUCCUGACGCUGAGGCACGAAGGCCGGGGGAGCAAACGGG